rnacentral:tRNA from 1 species
CAUGGGGUGGCCUAACAGAAAGGCGCGCGGCCCGGGCCCGCGAGAUUGCAGGUGCAAGUCCUGUCCCCGUGACCA